GUGCCAGCCGCCGCGGUAAUUCCAGCUCCAAUAGCGUAUAUUAAAGUUGUUGUGGUUAAAAAGCUCGUAGUUGAACCUUGGGCCUGGCUGGCCGGUCCGCCUCACCGCGUGCACUGGUCCGGCCGGGCCUUUCCCUCUGUGGAACCCCAUACCCUUCACUGGGCGUGGCGGGGAAACAGGACAUUUACUUUGAAAAAAUUAGAGUGCUCCAGGCAGGCCUAUGCUCGAAUACAUUAGCAUGGAAUAAUAAAAUAGGACGCGCGGUUCUAUUUUGUUGGUUUAUAGGACCGCCGUAAUGAUUAAUAGGGACAGUCGGGGGCAUCAGUAUUCAACUGUCAGAGGUGAAAUUCUUGGAUCAGUUGAAGACUAACUACUGCGAAAGCAUUUGCCAAGGAUGUUUUCAUUAAUCAGGAACGAAAGUUAGGGGAUCGAAGACGAUCAGAUACCGUCGUAGUCUUAACCAUAAACUAUGCCGACUAGGGAUCGGACGGUGUUAUUCAUGACCCGUUCGGCACCUUACGAGAAAUCAAAGUGCUUGGGCUCCAGGGGGAGUAUGGUCGCAAGGCUGAAACUUAAAGAAAUUGACGGAAGGGCACCACCAGGGGUGGAGCCUGCGGCUUAAUUUGACUCAACACGGGGAAACUCACCAGGUCCAGACACAAUAAGGAUUGACAGAUUGAGAGCUCUUUCUUGAUUUUGUGGUGGUGGUGCAUGACCGUUCUUAGUUGGUGGGGUGACUUGUCUGCUUAAUUGCGAUAACC
rnacentral:rRNA from 1 species